CGCGGUAAUACAGAAAGGGCAACCCAUCAGAAUUAUAAAUUGGUGUAAAGGGUACGUAGCCAGUUAUAAAAAAUAACUAGAGUCAAAUAGAAGAAUUAACAAUAUCUAGAGUAGGGCUGAUAUCUUAUAAUACUAGAGGGAGAACCUAUAGCGAAAGCAUAAUUCUAAAUAAUGACUGACGGUAAGGUACGAAGGCUGAGGUAGGAAUAAGGAUUAGAUACCCUAGUACUCUCAGCUGUAAACAAUGCAAAUUAAAGAUAUAUGAUAUUUAGUAUGUCUUAAUGCUAACGCGUUAAAUUUGCCACCUGUAAAGUAUAGUCUCAUGACUGAAAUACAAAUAAUUAGACGGUCUGUGAGCAAACGGAGUGGAGCAUGUUAUUUAAUUC
rnacentral:rRNA from 1 species